AAUCCAUAGGUUAAUGAGGCGAACCGGGGGAACUGAAACAUCUAAGUACCCCGAGGAAAAGAAAUCAACCGAGAUUCCCCCAGUAGCGGCGAGCGAACGGGGAGGAGCCCAGAGCCUGAAUCAGCAUGUGUGUUAGUGGAAGCGUCUGGAAAGGCGCGCGAUACAGGGUGACAGCCCCGUACACAAAAGCGCAUGUGCUGUGAGCUCGAUGAGUAGGGCGGGACACGUGGUAUCCUGUCUGAAUAUGGGGGGACCAUCCUCCAAGGCUAAAUACUCCUGACUGACCGAUAGUGAACCAGUACCGUGAGGGAAAGGCGAAAAGAACCCCGGCGAGGGGAGUGAAAAAGAACCUGAAACCGUGUACGUACAAGCAGUGGGAGCACA
rnacentral:rRNA from 12 species